rnacentral:rRNA from 1 species
UACGGGGGGGGCAAGCGUUGUUCGGAAUUACUGGGCGUAAAGGGUUCGUAGGUGGCUCGCUAAGUCAGACGUGAAAUUCCUCAGCUUAACUGGGGAACUGCGUCUGAGACUGGCGAGCUUGAGUGCAGGAGAGGAACGCGGAAUUCCAGGUGUAGCGGUGAAAUGCGUAGAUAUCUGGAGGAACACCGGUGGCGAAGGCGGCGUUCUGGACUGCAACUGACACUGAAGAACGAAAGCCAGGGGAGCAAACGGG